UUAAAAAAUAAAAAUAAAAAAGCAAGCAAACCAAAACGGAUGCUGACGUGGCAGGACAUAAGAGUAGUAGACCACACACACUGAAGUCUGAACUGAACUCUGCGUUCCGAAGAAUCUUCCUCUCUAGCUGUUUGCUUUUGGGAUUUAGAUCUCUGAUUCAAUGGAUGAACACCAUUCUUCGGGUGAAGAUGGGGAUAUGAUAGAGAGUUCUAAUGGGAAGGAUUUGGUUUCAACUGAAGGGAGUUCAGAUAUGGAGCCGUAUGUGGGUAUGGAUUUUGAAUCUGAGGAGGCUGCCAAGGUGUUCUAUGAUGCAUACGCCACUCGCAUGGGGUUCAUCAUGCGCGUUGAUGCAUUUCGGAGAUCAAUGCGUGAUGGGAAAGUUGUUUGGCGUCGACUUGUGUGUAAUAAAGAGGGUUUUCGUAAAUUGAGGCCCAAAAGAAGUGAAAAUAGGAAACCUCGGGCAAUCACAAGGGAAGGUUGUAAGGCAAUGAUAGUGGUGAAGAAAGAGAAAACUGGGAAAUGGGUUGUUACAAGAUUUGUAAAGGAGCAUAAUCAUCCAUUGGUAGUUACACCUGCUAAUGGUAGACGAAGUGUGCUUCUAUCACAAACACCCGAUGAGAAAGAUGUAAAAAUUCGAGAAUUGACUGCUGAGUUACAGCGAGAGCGAAAGCGAUCUGCAGCUUUUCAAGAACAACUUGAUAUGGUUCUAAGAGAUAUGGAGGACCAUUCACACCACCUAUCUAGAAACAUUGAUGACAUAGUUCAAAGUGUGAGGGAAAUUGAAUCAAAGAGGUUAGCCCUUUCACAUAGCUAGUGGCUGCAGUAGAUGUUCAAUUUGAUUUGUCUCUGUACAAUUUCUUUGAUUAUGUAUCAUUUAUUUUCAAGAUAUAAAUUUUAGUUGUAGGUUUUUCUUUUUAGUCUGGCAUUGUAGGUUGAACUCCUCUUAUUGUAUAAUAAAUAAGGCAAAUAAAAUUUGGUGAGGUGUUUAGCGA